CAUCACUGAGGGAAAUGAUCAGAGGUUGGCUGGUUAGACAGGAGUUGCUGAGCAGCUGCCACUGACUUCUGUGUUCAGCAUCUCUGAAAAUCAGGCGUGUGUGUGUGUGUGUGUGUUAUCAUCAGAGGUAAACAGAAUUUAUGAGAACACAACUUAUUUUCUCAUGUAAGCAGUAAUUGAACAACUGCCAAAUACACAAGAGAUGCCUGAAAGAAUCCACAUGCCAAGAGGAGGCGGAAUUAAUGCUGAGGCUUCAGAUGUAAUCCAGAGGACUGGAACUGUCUGUUCUUCAGAAGUGCUACAUGCCAGCGGAUCUCAUUGACUUGACUGGAGUUCAGGGUUCUCAGCAUCUCUGAAAAUCAGGCCCCUAAUGCCUAGUGAUGGUCAAAUGCAAAUCUCAAAAAGCCUUAUUUGUUUAAAUAAGUAUCCAACAGUUCAGAUGCUCUUUAUCUGAUCAUCUUUUAUCUCGGUAUAAUAACCCAGUGUCUCAGUUGAGGAAAGGCAUGAUAUAAUGUGGCACAAAUACAU